rnacentral:lncRNA from 1 species
AUAGCAUGUUGUCUCUGAUUUUGGUAGCAAAUUGGUGGCUUACGUGUGAGAAAAUUGGCAGCAACAAAGUUGAAUAACUCCUGUGAAACCAAUGGAGUGAAGCUGCAAGUUUGGUUCCUUUCUCCCAAGAAAUCUUGCUGCAAUUUAUUUAAAUGUACCGUAUAUAUCUCCUAUUUCUCUUUCUAGGACCUGCACAUAUUGUAUUGUUUAC